rnacentral:rRNA from 1 species
CGUGUAGAUGGCUUUUUAAGUCAGCUGUGAAAUCUCCUGGCUCAACCGGGAGAGGUCAGUUGAUACUGAGGAGCUUGAGGGCAGCAGAGGAAGAUGGAAUUCCCGGUGUAGUGGUGAAAUGCGUAGAUAUCGGGAGGAACACCAGUGGCGAAGGCGGUCUUCUGGGCUGUUUCUGACAUUGAGGCGCGAAAGCGUGGGAGUGAAGCGGAUCAGAUACCCGCGUAAUCCACGCUAUAAACGGUGGAUACUAGGUAUGGGGGGUAUCGACCCUCUCCGUGCCGCAGCUAACGUUUUAAGUAUCCCGCCUGGGGACUACGGCCGCAAGGUUAAA